rnacentral:rRNA from 1 species
UACGUAGGGUGCGAGCGUUAAUCGGAAUUACUGGGCGUAAAGCGUGUGUAGGCGGCCACGUAAGUCAGGUGUGAAAGCCCCAGGCUUAACCUGGGAAGUGCACUUGAUACUGCAUGGCUUGAGUAUCGGAGAGGUUGGUGGAAUUCCAGGUGUAGCGGUGAAAUGCGUAGAGAUCUGGAGGAAUACCGGUGGCGAAGGCGGCCCCCUGGACGAAGACUGACGCUCAGGUGCGAAAGCGUGGGGAGCAAACAGG